GUCUACGGCCAUGCCACCCUGACAAGCCCGAUGUCUGAUCUCAGAAACUAAGCAAGGUCGGGCCUAGUUAGUACUUGGAUGGGAGACCACCUAGGAAAACCAGGUGCUGUAGGCG
rnacentral:rRNA from 1 species